CGGCUCCGGUACUCUAGAGAUGCGCGUCGGACGGUGGUUGACUUCGGUCUUCUAUAGUGGCAAACGGGUGCGUAACGCGUAAAUAACCUGCCCCAAACUGGGGGAUAGCCCGGCGAAAGCUGGGGUAAGCCCGCAUGGUCUUUUUCGGUGGCAUCACCGGCUAAGUAAAAGUCUUCGGACUGGUUUGGGAGGGAUUUGCGUCUGAUUAGCUAGUUGGGGGGGUAGUGGCCCACCAAGGCAGUGAUCAGUCGGGGCUCUGAGAGGAGGGUCCCCCACAUGGGCACUGAGACACGGGCCCAACUCCUACGGGAGGCAGCAGUAGGGAAUAUUGGGCAAUGGACUAGCGUCUGACCCAGCCAUGCCGCGUGGAGGAAGACGGCCCUCUGGGUUGUAAACUCCUUUUAUCAGGGAAGAAGAGCAGGCAUGCGUGCCUGUGUGACGGUACCUGAGGAAUCAGCACCGGCUAACUCCGUGCCAGCAGCCGCGGUAAUACGGAGGGUGCAAGCGUUGUCCGGAUUUAUUGGGUUUAAAGGGUGCGUAGGUGGCCCGGUAAGUCUGCCUUGAAAGCUGGUCGCUCAACGAUCAGGGGUGGGUGGAUACUGCUGGGCUUGGAUUGGGUGGCGGUUUCUGGAACGGGUCGUGUAGCGGUG
rnacentral:rRNA from 1 species